AACAGGAGAAACAGGUGCUAAUUUCGUUAUAGAGGAAGAGGCCAUGAAAAACUGGUCAGGUUAGGCUCUGCUCCUGGUCAGAAGUUAAAUGGUCUGGCUAGUGAAUGAGCAAACUCUAUGACUCCCUUUGUGCCCCCAGAAUGAUGCUGGGCUAAUGUCUAUUGGGUGUUAAGUGUCAUGUGUGGAAGUGGUCCCUCGGCCAAUGUGCAUUUGGGAAAGUUCACCCGGUGUCCUCGCAGGGCAUGCCGGUUGUUGUCAGGGUUUCUAACGUGUGUAAGAUAUGAUCCCUGUCUUCAAAAAGUUUACAGUGUAGCUGGGGGGAUCAUAUACAUGAUCCAAUAAGGAAUCCUUAUGUUUUAACUAAGUCUUACAGGUGGCCCAUUCACAGUGGGCUGGAUUAGUUGGAACUGGCUUCAGGAUAAAUUUUAGAAUUUCAUGAUAGAAGAUCCUGAGGGAUUCACUUACUUUCCUCUUUUAUUUUAUAGAUCAGACAAAAAGGCAACACAGAGAAUUUAAGUGAAUUGUCCAGCAUCACAGAGCAGAGCCAAGGGAUGCCAGAUUCUCAAAUAAGAAGAUGGCAGUCAGUCUCACAUCAUCCUGCUCCUGUGACGACAGAUGCAUGUCAUGGCCUGAGAAACAUUAUGUUGACCACAAAACUCAUAGGUGAUUAUUGCAGGCUCAGAUCCAAGAGAAUUAUCAUCACUGGACCAACAACAGCCUGGGGAACCUAACAAACAGAAGAUACAUCAUUGGAAGAUACAACAUUGAGUGGGAGCCAAGAAAGCAGUUUUGAGGACAAGAUGAGAAUUAAAAAGUAAUGUUGGUAACAUUGGAGAAGGUAGCUGGAAACAAGCAGAAAGCUGCUGUCAAAGGAAACUAAAAAAUACAAAACUGGAGAAUUAUUGACUGUGGGUAUAUAUUACAGACUAAAAUCCAGAAGUCUAUACAGUUAACGGAUUGUCAAAGAGUCAGGAGGAAAGGGCAAGAGUUA